UGAGGUGUGGCUUGGUUGGUAGAGUGCUUGAUUAGAAGGCAAGAAGCCUUGGAUUGGAUCCCUAGCACUUCAU
rnacentral:tRNA from 1 species